rnacentral:rRNA from 1 species
GGGAGGUAGUGACAAUAAAUAACAAUACAGGGUUCUUUAGGAUCUUGUAAUUGGAAUGAGUACAAUUUAAAUCUCUUAACGAGGAACAAUUGGAGGGCAAGUCUGGUGCCAGCAGCCGCGGUAAUUCCAGCUCCAAUAGCGUAUAUUAAAGUUGUUGCAGUUAAAAAGCUCGUAGUUGAACCUCGGGAUCAAUGGAUCGGUCAUGCCAUCGGUAUGUACUGGUCUCAUUGGUUCUCACCUUCUAAGGAACCAUGAUGUCAUUCAUUUGAUGUUGUGGGGAAUUAGGACUGUUACCUUGAAAAAAUUAGAGUGUUUAAAGCAGGCUAACGCUUGAAUACAUUAGCAUGGAAUAAUAAAAUAGGACGGAUGGUUCUAUUUUGUUGGUUUCUAGGAUCGAUGUAAUGAUUAAUAGGGAUAGUUGGG